rnacentral:rRNA from 1 species
CCUACGGGUGGCAGCAGUGAGGAAUAUUGGUCAAUGGUCGUAAGCCUGAACCAGCCAAGUAGCGUGCAGGAUGAUGGUCCUAUGGAUUGUAAACUGCUUUUAUGCGGGGAUAAAAUGCGUCACGUGUGCUGUUUUGUAUGUACCGCAUGAAUAAGGACCGGCUAACUCCGUGCCAGCAGCCGCGGUAAUACGGAAGGUCCGGGCGUUAUCCGGAUUUAUUGGGUUUAAAGGGAGCGUAGGCGGCCUGUUAAGUGUGCCGUGAAAUGCCGUGGCUCAACCAUGGAACUGCGGCGGAAACUGGCUGGCUUGAGUGUGCGUGACGUAUGCGGAAUGCGUGGUGUAGCGGUGAAAUGCUUAGAUAUCACGAAGAACUCCGAUUGCGAAGGCAGCAUACGGCAGCGCGACUGACGCUGAAGCUCGAAGGCGCGGGUAUCGAACAGGAUUAGAUACCCGGGUAGUC